GCCUACAAUUUAUACUUGGCAAUUAGACUAAUUCCCUAUGAUCCCAUGACCUGAAACUGCUGUACAUUUUCUCAAAAUGUUGCCUCUUGCUGCAUGUACCGGCUGUACGUUUCGUCACAUUAUGCAGAAAUUGCCUACUUCAGAACAGUAAAAGUAAUUAUGUUGAUCAACUUUUUUAUCCUAAGUUUGGUGAAGUCUGAGUUUCUUCAUUGCAGUCUAAUGUGCACAUGGAUUCGUUGCAGCCAACUGGUGAAAGGUGUUCCCCUUGCAAGCUUGCUACCUGUACUGUUUGUAGCUUUCGUCACAUGCAGAAACGCUUCAAACAAUUUAAAGAGAUGACGAAUUCCGUUCGCUGGAUCUGAGUCCCAACAAGUCGUUGAAUAUGAGAUCUUAUGGACGUAAUGUAUACAAGAGAACAGCAGUUCACGUUCCAACAUACGCCCUUUUGAUCAAGACUGGCCCUAAGUCAGGCCAGUUGCCAGGUCAUGCCGGUUAAUUUGCCAAUGCAGAGUUGAUGAAGAUCCCCAACUUUCUUCACUUUUGACACCACCCACUAUUGAGAGACAAUGCCAAGCAUUGAAAAAGUUCUGCACAGAGUGCCGUAAGAGUUGGAUAUCAAUGAAAAGAUUGAAAAUCAUUUACCCAUCACAAUCACAACUAGUGAUUACCUCAAUUCUUUCCCCUCAUUGAGUGAUGCCAGAGCCAGAAUUGUAACACUCCAGGUGAAAUUGAGCUUUCUGAAAUUGGACAACCAUGCCAAGGAUAAAUUCUUCUUUUUCGUAUACCGGCUGUAUGUUUUGUAAGAAACACUUCAGAACUAUUCAGGAUAAACGUCUGGUAAAAGUAUGAGCUUCUUUGUUGCUGCCCAACGUACACAUGGAUUUGAUGCAGCCAGCUGAGGGCUUUAACUCUUUUUUAUCGGUUUUAUUCCACUAGUUGCUGCCCAAUGUGGUACGUUGUUGCAGCCUAUGACGGUGAAAGAUCUUUCUACAACAAGUGCAAUUGGCCGUUCCUUGGUGAUGUGUUAGCGAGGUUGUAUCGUUAUUUUGUUAAAAUUGCCAUCGUGACUAUGCAGUUUAUCGAAAAAAAAAAUAUGGGAUGUUCAUGUCAAACAAAUAAUAAACAUGUUUUUGGGGUUGGGAAAGGAAAGUGGAGGAGGAGAUUUCAAGUUUGGAUAAAAAAUCAGCCCAUGUAUAACCCUACAAACAAAUGCCUACCAACUAAUCUGCGAACCCCACAAACUUUUACCUUCCAAUUCUUCAAACCCCACAAACAAACCUACCAACCUCUCAAUUUAUACCCUAAACCCCAUAAACCAAUGUGAAACCUUAACUGUAAUAUAUCUGCAAUAAAUAAAAAUAUUCUUUGUA